rnacentral:rRNA from 1 species
CGGGGGGCAGCAGUGGGGAAUUUUGGACAAUGGGCGCAAGCCUGAUCCAGCCAUUCCGCGUGAGUGAAGAAGGCCUUCGGGUUGUAAAGCUCUUUCGCAAGGGAAGAACACUUAGCUACUAAUAUUAGCUGAGGUUGACGGUACCUUGAUAAGAAGCACCGGCUAACUACGUGCCAGCAGCCGCGGUAAUACGUAGGGUGCGAGCGUUAAUCGGAAUUACUGGGCGUAAAGCGUGCGCAGGCGGUUUUGUAAGUCAGAUGUGAAAUCCCCGAGCUCAACUUGGGAACUGCGUUUGAAACUACAAGACUAGAAUAUGUCAGAGGGGGGUAGAAUUCCACGUGUAGCAGUGAAAUGCGUAGAGAUGUGGAGGAAUACCAAUGGCGAAGGCAGCCCCCUGGGAUAAUAUUGACGCUCAUGCACGAAAGCGUGGGGAGCAAACAGGAUUAGAUACCCGCGU